UGAACAAUCUUUUCGUAUCUUAGUGGCGGACGGGUGAGUAACGCGUGGGUAACCUGCCUUAUACCGGGGGAUAACAGUUGGAAACGACUGCUAAUACCGGAUAGGUAGCAGACAAGCAUUUGACUGCUAUUAAAGUGGCUUUGGCCAUGAACAUGGAUGGACCUGCGGUGCAUUAGCUGGUUGGUGAGGUAACGGCCCACCAAGGCGACGAUGCAUAGCCGGCCUGAGAGGGCGGACGGCCACAUUGGGACUGAGACACGGCCCAGACUCC
rnacentral:rRNA from 1 species